rnacentral:rRNA from 1 species
AGACAGCAGUCGCCGCGGUAAUACGGAGGGUGCAAGCGUUAAUCGGAAUUACUGGGCGUAAAGCGCACGCAGGCGGUCUGACAAGUCAGAUGUGAAAUCCCCGGGCUUAACCUGGGAACUGCAUUUGAAACUGUCAGGCUGGAGUCUUGUAGAGGGGGGUGGAAUUCCAGGUGUAGCGGUGAAAUGCGUAGAGAUCUGGAGGAAUACCGGUGGCGAAGGCGGCCCCCUGGACAAAGACUGACGCUCAGGUGCGAAAGCGUGGGGAGCAAACAGGAUUAGAGACCCCCGUAGUCCCUGUAUCUUAUAC